rnacentral:rRNA from 1 species
AGAACGAACGCUGGCGGCAUGCCUAACACAUGCAAGUCGAACGUGAUCCAGGCUUCGGCCUGGUGAAAGUGGCAGACGGGUGAGUAACGCGUGGGAACCUGCCCUGUGGUAGGGAAUAACCGUGGGAAACUGCGGCUAAUACCCUAUGAGUCCUUCGGGAGAAAGAUUUAUCGCCAUAGGAGGGGCCCGCGUCGGAUUAGGUAGUUGGUGGGGUAACGGCCUACCAAGCCUUCGAUCCGUAGCUGGUCUGAGAGGAUGAUCAGCCACACUGGGACUGAGAUACGGCCCAGACUCCUACGGGAGGCAGCAGUGGGAAUAUUGGACAAUGGGGGCAACCCUGAUCCAGCAAUGCCGCGUGGAUGAUGAAGGCCUUCGGGUUGUAAAGUCCUUUCGGCGGGGAAGAUGAUGACGGUACCCGCAGAAGAAGCCCCGGCUAACUUCGUGCCAGCAGCCGC